rnacentral:lncRNA from 1 species
UUUGAGCUUGUUUGGAUAGACUUAUUUUAAGUGUUUUUAAGUCUGAAUAACACUUUUUGUAAAAGAUUUCGAAUAUUUUUCUGUAUUAGUUCAAGUGAUCAAUUUUUAUGGAUCGUUAUGUUUUUGGCAGGGCCUGUUCUGCUUGAGGAUUAUUAUCUAAUUGAGAAACUUGCGACUUUUGAUCGCGAAAAGAUACCUGAGCGUGUUGUUCAUGCUAGAGGUGCUAGUGCUAAGGGAUUCUUUGAAGUUACUCAUGACAUUUCUCAUCUUUCUUGUGCUGAUUUUCUCCGAGCUCCUGGUGCUCAAACGCCUGUUAUUUGUCGAUUCUCUACUGUUGUCCAUGAACGUGGAAGCCCCGAGUCAAUCAGGGACAUUCGCGGUUUUGCUGUCAAGUUUUACACCAGAGAGGUAAUUUCGUGUUACUUGAAACAUGAACUUAGGUACUGGAAUCUUGGAUUGUGUUUUGUUCUAUUGUAAUGUAUUUAAUUAAUUGCUUCAGGGUAACUUUGAUCUUGUUGGAAACAAUGUCCCUGUGUUCUUUAAUCGUGAUGCUAAGUCGUUCCCUGACACGAUUCGUGCAUUGAAACCAAAUCCAAAGUCACACAUUCAGGAGAACUGGAGGAUCCUUGAUUUCUUCUCGUUCCUUCCUGAGAGUUUGCAUACAUUCGCCUUCUUCUACGAUGAUGUUUGUCUCCCAACUGAUUACAGACACAUGGAAGGUUUUGGCGUUCACGCGUAUCAAUUGAUUAACAAAGAGGGGAAAGCACAUUAUGUGAAGUUCCACUGGAAGCCAACUUGUGGUGUGAAAUGUAUGUCUGAGGAAGAAGCUAUUAGAGUCGGUGGUACUAAUCAUAGCCACGCGACCAAGGAUCUUUACGAUUCAAUUGCAGCUGGAAACUAUCCUGAGUGGAAACUUUUCAUCCAAACAAUGGACCCUGAGGAUGUAGACAAGUUCGAUUUUGAUCCUCUGGAUGUAACCAAGACAUGGCCUGAGGAUCUCUUGCCGUUGAUCCCAGUUGGUCGAUUGGUAUUGAACAGGAACAUUGAUAACUUCUUUGCUGAGAAUGAGCAGCUCGCGUUUAACCCUGGACAUAUCGUCCCUGGUAUUUACUAUUCCGAGGAUAAGCUUCUCCAGACUAGGAUAUUCGCGUAUGCUGAUACUCAGAGACACCGUAUUGGACCAAACUAUAUGCAGCUCCCAGUUAAUGCUCCCAAGUGUGGUCAUCACAACAAUCAUCGCGAUGGUGCCAUGAACAUGACACAUCGCGAUGAAGAGGUACUAUGCACUCGACAAUUGGUGCUCCUUAUGUUGUUGCCUUUGUUCAAACAUUUCAUUCUUCUGAUGUAUAACUAAAUGUUUCAGGUGGAUUAUUUGCCCUCGAGGUUUGAUCCUUGUCGUCCUGCUGAGCAGUACCCAAUUCCUGCUUGUGUCUUGAAUGGAAGGCGUACAAAUGUGAGGCAAAUCUUUGUUAUUGUUCGUCUGAAUGAUCUAUGAAUGAGUUUAACUUUCACUUACAUAUAUACAUUGUUGUUUUUUUAGUGUGUCAUUCCGAAAGAGAACAACUUCAAACAGGCAGGGGAGAGGUACAGAUCCUGGGAAUCUGACAGGUACUAAUUUGGUUCAUCUAUCAUAUAAUUUAUUGCCAAUUCUCCCCCUCGUAAACACACAAUGAUAACUGAUUAUCCUUGUUAUUUCAGGCAAGACAGAUACAUCACCAAGUGGGUUGAGUCUCUAUCCGAUCCACGAGUCACUCAUGAGAUUCGCAGCAUAUGGAUAUCAUACUUGUCUCAGGUUUGAGUUGUUCUCUUCAUUUCCAUGAUUCAUUUUAGCCUAAUAAAACGCGGUGAUUAAACAAAACCAAUCUUUUCUUCACGUGGAUACAUUGCAGGCUGACAAGUCCUGUGGUCAGAAGGUCGCUUCUCGUCUCACUGUGAAGCCUACAAUGUGAAGAUGAUGAAAAUAGUUGGAAUGGUUUCAAGCUGCAAAUGUUGAAAGACUAAUACAAGAAAAUGUUCACGUUGUGCUAUAAACUGUACUUCUUUUUUCAAUCGUAAUGUUGUAUUUGUAUCAAAUUUCGAUGUCUUAUGUUUUUACUAUGAUGAUGUAAGAACCUGAAUAAGUUCACAGUUGUAUGUUCAAUGUUUCACUUUCUAAAGUUAUGUAAUUAUGUUGAGUUCUUGCUCACUUUGGUGCUUGAAGAACACUCAAUUUCAAUAUUAUCACUUUCAUUUCAGUAUCUCAGCUUGAUUGAUUAUGUUUGAACAAUUUUUUUUCCCUUUUUCAUUACAUAAGAAGAUCAAGGAAGGUGAAAUAGGUCAUUAAGAAUGUAACCCGCACAUAUUGUGCGGGAGAAUUUCACUGAUACAACUAGACUAUAAGCUUUGAUAGUGCAGAGUAUGAGUUAUGUUGUUUUACUUGAGUAGAGAAUAUUAUCUGAAAUAACAUCCCUAUCUUCACAAGAUCGGGUAAGAGUUCAUAUACACCAUUCUCCUCAGACUACACUUGUGAAAUUAUGAUUCGGUGUGUAGUUGUAGUGUGAGUUGUGUGCGGUUUGAAAUGCAGUUUUAAGUUGGGAAAUUUACAUAUAUCCUACUAGUUUAUGAACUAAUUACUUAGAUACACUCUAGUUUGCAAUAUUACGAGUCUUACCAUAUUUUGGUGCGUCUAGAUACUUAUAUCUUGAGAUACAUAGGGUCAAAAUUAGGUGUAAUUUAUUCUAGAUACAUUGUAUACAAGUGAUUCGCAUGUAUAUGUGAUACAUAACAAAUCUCGCUAGUCUCCCUCCCAUCUCGCUUUCCACUUUUCUCUAUAUCUGGUAUUCCAGAUACAUGUGAAUCACAACAGAUCCAUACAAAUACAUGUAUCUAGUGUGGUUCACAUGUAUUUGAGAUAUGUGAGUAUCUCACUCUCCUCCCUCCCCCAUCUCACUCGUCUCUUUCCCUAUUUUAAUGUAUCUGGUAGCAAAAUUACAUGUAUCUAGGUGUAUCUUCCUCAAUAUAUGAUAGGAAACUCUUAAUUAAUGAUAACAUAGGCAAUAUUUUAAAAAUAUAAAUAAUAAUAGUACAUAUGAUAAUGGAGUAUGUCUAAUUACGUAGUUUCUCCAUUUAAAAGUUCAUUAUCCCUCUAGGCUUGGGUCCAUUAGUUUCCUUUGCUUCUUCUUGUUAGGUAGUAACAGUUUGGGCCAGUCCACUAAAUUUUGUUCCUCAUUGGGCCGCUCCAAUGACGUACCCGGAGGCCCAUACCAAUCUCCAGCAAUACAAAGUGAUUACUGUUACUUGACUAUCAGUUUGUAGACAUGUUAAAUCGUUGCAGACUCAUUAAGAUAUUCAGCUAUCGAUUGUUGAUAGUUAUUGAUACGAUUAUUAGUUUAACCAUUAAGAUUUUACGCACACAAUUUUUUUUCAUGAGAAUCACUUAGAACAUUCACCUGAGUGAUUUUCUUAAAAAAGCAAAUACUAUCACCAAGUGUGUGACCAUGUCAUUUAAAAGCUUAAACUAAAUUCUUUUUAUUUUGGGUGGCGGUGAGAUCCGAUUGCAGGACCUCUACCUGCUCUGAUAACAUGUUGAAGUGUGUAACCUCAUUUAAAAGUUUAAGCGGUUAGAGAGAACACAUUUUUAUUAAUUAAUGAUAUUCUCAAUCGAGUGAAGUUUAGCAAGAAGCUUUCAUAUACCAUCGAAUUUUGAUAAAAGGCUUAUCUACACCAUCCGUUAAAAGCUUGACUCAUUUAUGUUAUUUCUGUUUGGAAAAACACCCAUCCACACAAAUGACAUAUAUGACCCAAACUUUUAACAGUGACGUAAAUAAGCUUUUUAUCAAAGUUCUAUGAUAUAUUUGAGUUUUUUUCUUAACAUAAAUAACACGAUGCAACACUAACAAGAGUUAUACUAGAGUAAUAAGUAUUUUUUCAUCUUUAACCGAAUGUCACGAUUUGUUGAUUUUUAUGGAUUAUUACGAGACUUUGGUUUCCAAAUAUCCACGUGUCAGUUGUUAACUAUGUUGAUCAUCAUCUUCCAAACUACAGAAACAAAUUAUCACUAUUCUUGAUAUUAUUAUCCUUUCUUCUCUGCUCUCCAACUGUCACUCUUCCCUGCGCCGGCCGGCCACCAUCCUCCGCCGUUAAUUCAUUUUCCGGUGACAGUCUUCCACCUCAUUUUUACCCACUUCCCCUAACCUUACAGGAUGAUAGCUAUUUCGAAUUCUUUGCUUUUAUCAACAACCCCUUCUCUGCAUUUCACUUCUGGUAAUUCUUUAAAUCUUGUAAAUUUUACAUUUUUAUUCAUGGGGUUUGGAUUAUUUGUUGUAAUUUGCUGUUUUUGAUGCACCCUUUAUGGUAAUUUCGAAUUUGGUGUGUUGAUUAGUUGGUAUUUGACCCUGUGUAUUCAGUAAUCGAGCUUCGUAAUAGCAUAAUUGAAUGAUUAUUUCAAGAUUUGUGUUUUGUUCUCUACUGAUUUUAGCUUUGAUAUGCUUUACUUGAGUCGAGGGUCUUUCAAAAGUCUGUCUCUCUACCUUCAAGAGUACAAAGUAGGGGUAAGGUAGGCCGUAGGCCUAUGCACCACCCUACUCUUACCUUACUUGUGGGAUUACACUGUGUUGUUGUUGUUCUCUACUGAUUUUAGGUUUGAGAUGCUUUACUUGAGCCGAGAGUCUAGCCUCUCUACCUUCACAAGCAUAAGGUACGUGUAAGGUAUGUUUACACAUCAUCCUCCCCGGACACCACUUCUGUGAUUACACUAGGUAUGUUGUUACCUACUGAUUUUAGCGUUGGUAGGGUAAUGUCUGCGUACACACCACCCUUCCCAAACCCCACUUGUGGGAUUACGUUGUGUAUGUUUUUGUUGUUGUUUACUGAUAUUAACUGUUAAAGUAGUAAACUAACUGCUGCAUAGAGUAAUUUGUGUCUCGAAAGAACUUGAGAACUUAGCUAAGAACAAAGCGAAAUUGCCUCAAUAGCUAUAGGCUAGUUGGGAUAGAGGAUCUCUGUUGUUGUUAUACCUCCGUUAAGUUGUUUUUUCGCUCUGAUCAGAGACUUGUAUGUGAUAAGUGUGACAUAUAUGGAACAUCCAGUUUUAAGGAACACCAAUUUGCUUUAAAAACUAGGUGAUUUCUUUUGAUAGUCUUGUAGUGAGAGUUGUUGGGUACAACUCUAGGUACCUGAGGUGGUGGGAGAUAGCAGGUAUUAGGUGGAAUUAGUCAAGGUGCACAAGUUGUCUCUAUCAUGAAAAAAAUAUUCAUGUCCUCCAUAUUAUAUGGUAGUGUUUUGCUGGAUACGAAAUUUAAGAAAUAGAGAAACACU